AACGCACGAGACCUGCGGACCUGCGGAAGGAUCAUUACUGAGUAUUUUACUCAUAACCUUUGUGAACUUAUCUGUUGCUUUGGUAGGGAGCUAGGCUAUGUCAAAUAAUGGUCUACUAAUUGUUAAGGCAAUUAUAUAUUGCUUUAUGCCCUACCAAAGAAUUUUUAUGCGCUAUAUUUUUUUUGGUGUUGCUCUGAGUUUAAAAAAGUUUAUAAACUUUUAACAACGGAUCUCUAGAUC
rnacentral:misc_RNA from 1 species